GGAAGAACCAAAGGGAGUGACAGAUUUAGGGAAGGUAAUCAGGUAGGAAGAACCAAAGGGAGUGACAGAUUUAGGGAAGGUAAUCAGGUAGGAAGAACCAAAGGGAGUGACAGAUUUAGGGAAGGUAAUCAGACAGGAAGAACCAAAGGGAGUGACAGAUUUAGGGAAGGUAAUCAGACAGGAAGAACCAAAGGGAGUGACAGAUUUAGGGAAGGUAAUCAGACAGGAAGAACCAAAGGGAGUGACAGAUUUAGGGAAGGUAAUCAGGUAGGAAGAACCAAAGGGAGUGACAGAUUUAGGGAAGGUAAUCAGGUAGGAAGAACCAAAGGGAGUGACAGAUUUAGGGAAGGUAAUCAGACAGGAAGAACCAAAGGGAGUGACAGAUUUAGGGAAGGUAAUCAGGUAGGAAGAACCAAAGGGAGUGACAGAUUUAGGGAAGGUAAUCAGGUAGGAAGAACCAAAGGGAGUGACAGAUUUAGGGAAGGUAAUCAGGUAGGAAGAACCAAAGGGAGUGACAGAUUUAGGGAAGGUAAUCAGGUAGGAAGAACCAAAGGGAGUGACAGAUUUAGGGAAGGUAAUCAGACAGGAAGAACCAAAGGGAGUGACAGAUUUAGGGAAGGUAAUCAGACAGGAAGAACCAAAGGGAGUGACAGAUUUAGGGAAGGUAAUCAGACAGGAAGAACCAAAGGGAGUGACAGAUUUAGGGAAGGUAAUCAGACAGGGAAGAACCAAAGGGAGUGACAGAUUUAGGGAAGGUAAUCAGACAGGAAGAACCAAAGGGGAGUGACAGAUUUAGGGAAGGUAAUCAGACAGGAAGAACCAAAGGGGAGUGACAGAUUUAGGGAAG
rnacentral:lncRNA from 1 species